GCGCUGUUGGAGUAGUAGUUAACUUACUUCCCUCCCAAAAGGGUGAAAGGAAGCGACGCGGGUGCAAAUCCCGCACAGCGCA